rnacentral:rRNA from 1 species
UACGUAGGGUGCGAGCGUUGUCCGGAAUUACUGGGCGUAAAGAGCUCGUAGGUGGUUUGUCGCGUUGUUCGUGAAAACUCACAACUCAAUUGUGGGCGUGCGGGCGAUACGGGCAGACUGGAGUACUGCAGGGGAGACUGGAAUUCCUGGUGUAGCGGUGGAAUGCGCAGAUAUCAGGAAGAACACCAAUGGCGAAAGCAGCUCUCUGGGACGGUACUGACGCUGAGACGCGAAAGCGUGGGGAGCGAACAGG